AUCUAGGGUUUCAUCUAGUAAAACCUAGGAAAGCAUGUAUCAAAUGGAGAUUACAAGCUACCAACCUCAAGAGAAGCCCCAAUUCAAGCUCAAAACCAAGUAGGGUUGAAGUUUGAUCCACCACAAAGCUUCAAAAGCAAGCUCCAAGCCUCCAAAGGUGAGAAAUGAGGAAGAAAAUGGUGCUCCAAGGCCUCUAAACAAGCUCUUCUCCUCUCCUUCUCCUUCUUCUCCUUCCCUUUCUCUCUCUAGAAGUGUAGGAAGAGUGUGAGGGAGAGAAAAUGAGAGUGAGAGUGGAGGAGAGGCUGCUUAUAGCCUCUAAAGUAACAAAAUCCACAUAGGCCCUUCAAAAACUCAAAUUUACAUCAGCCCGGUCUGGGCAGUUUUCGCCCAGAGGGACCGGUCUCCCCGACCUGGGACCGGUCUCUCAGCCUGCCCCCCGAAAAUCCAACGUUCGGGAACCGGUCUCUCCCUGCGCGGGACCGGUCUCUCCCCGCACAGACGCGCUCGGGGACCGGUCUCGACUGCCAGGGACCGGUUGCCUCGCCGGCUACGCAGCACUGUUCACAGGGGGACCGGUCUCUCCUAUCAGGGACCGGUCUCUGAGAGUAAAACUCUCAGGACUCUGCCAAAACUCUCGAGAUCGAACUUUUAGGCCGGUAUACCAUCGACGGCCCUCCACCAAGUGUGAAAAAGUUCGGAAUACAAAUCGAACACUCGAACCUCGCAAUUUACAAAGGUCCAGUGUGCUACAGGCUUGGACCUAAAUAGGUCGACAUUACAGGGUGUGACCAGCCCUUGAGCUAUGUAAAGUAGAUUCCGGAAUCCCAGGACUUGUGAGCUCGAUAGUUCUUGGCCGCGGGUGUAUGUGGCAUGUUCCUCUCCCACCGGAAGAACUUCGAGAAUUAUGAUUGAGCAAGAACCAUGAGCGCUAGGGUGUAUGUGGCAUGUUCCUCUCCCUAUCGAGGAUCUCGGCUGCGGGUGUAUGCGGCAUGUUCCUCUCCCACUGGGGGAUCCCUAACCACAGGUGCACGCAGCUCUGGGCGACCCAUUGGGCGAUGUGGUUUGUGGAUUGAAGGCUGAGGUGUAUGUGAGAGUUCCUUCACCUCGAGCCGCACAGAGCGCGGAUUAUCUGCAGAUGAUUGACUCAAGACCGAGUCGAGUGGCAUAGUUGGCUAAGGUAAAAGUAACCUUAGGAAAAGAAUGACAAAUAAAAA
rnacentral:lncRNA from 1 species